UACGGGGGGAGCAAGCGUUGUUCGGAUUUACUGGGCGUAAAGGGCGCGUAGGCGGCCACCGCAGGUCGACUGUGAAAUCUCCGGGCUUAACCCGGAAAGGUCAGCCGAUACUGCGGGGCUAGAGUGCAGAAGGGGCAACUGGAAUUCUCGGUGUAGCGGUGAAAUGCGUAGAUAUCGGGAGGAACACCUGCGGCGAAGGCGGGUUGCUGGGCUGACACUGACGCUGAGGCGCGAAAGCUAGGGGAGCGAACGGG
rnacentral:rRNA from 1 species